GUCCACGCCGUAAACGAUGGAUGCUAGGUGUGGGCGGUGUCGACUCCGUCCGUGCCGAAGCUAACGCAUUAAGCAUCCCGCCUGGGGAGUACGGCCGCAAGGCUAAAACUCAAAGGAAUUGACGGGGGCCCGCACAAGCAGCGGAGCAUGUGGUUUAAUUCGACGCGACGCGAAGAACCUUACCUGGGCUUGACAUGCACUGGAAAGCCGUAGAAAUACGGCCUCCCUUCGGGGCCAGUGCACAGGUGGUGCAUGGCUGUCGU
rnacentral:rRNA from 1 species